AAAUGAAUAAUAGUUUAAGGUACAUUAAGUUUAAUAGGGAAAGUGGUUAAAAGCCACUGCAGCCCCCGCUACUGUGUACGGAUACAAGUCAUGAUACCACUGGUAAUUUACUGGGAAGGGAAUGAUGAGGAUAAGCCGUGAGCCAGGAGACCUGCCUAAAACUUUGUUAGUUGA
rnacentral:ncRNA from 15 species